rnacentral:lncRNA from 1 species
GUGAGCCUCACCUUAUCAUCUAUCACCUUAUGGACAUUUGCAAUAUGAGUCAGCAUAAAAUAAAUGUUUGAUGACAUAACCACAUCAUGACAUGAAAAAUUAGGGCAAAAAAGGAUGAAAGAAGAUGAAAAGGAUUGCUGGAGAAAUUUUGAACAUUUGAAAUUGGAUUUCUGUUCAUGAAUCUAAAUAAUGGCUGGCUAAAGAUAUAAAGAUGCCAUCUUCUUUAUAGGGUCGUGUUGGGGCAAUCGGAUCUGCUCCCCCC